AGUGAAAGACGGUCUUGCUGUCACUUAUAGAUGGAUCCGCGCUGCAUUAGCUAGUUGGUAAGGUAACGGCUUACCAAGGCAACGAUGCAUAGCCGACCUGAGAGGGUGAUCGGCCACACUGGAACUGAGACACGGUCCAGACUCCUACGGGAGGCAGCAGUAGGGAAUCUUCCGCAAUGGGCGAAAGCCUGACGGAGCAACGCCGCGUGAGUGAUGAAGGUCUUCGGAUCGUAAAACUCUGUUAUUAGGGAAGAACAUAUGUGUAAGUAACUGUGCACAUCUUGACGGUACCUAAUCAGAAAGCCACGGCUAACUACGUGCCAGCAGCCGCGGUAAUACGUAGGUGGCAAGCGUUAUCCGGAAUUAUUGGGCGUAAAGCGCGCGUAGGCGGUUUUUUAAGUCUGAUGUGAAAGCCCACGGCUCAACCGUGGAGGGUCAUUGGAAACUGGAAAACUUGAGUGCAGAAGAGGAAAGUGGAAUUCCAUGUGUAGCGGUGAAAUGCGCAGAGAUAUGGAGGAACACCAGUGGCGAAGGCGACUUUCUGGUCUGUAACUGACGCUGAUGUGCGAAAGCGUGGGGAUCAAACAGGAUUAGAUACCCUGGUAGUCCACGCCGUAAACGAUGAGUGCUAAGUGUUAGGGGGUUUCCGCCCCUUAGUGCUGCAGCUAACGCAUUAAGCACUCCGCCUGGGGAGUACGACCGCAAGGUUGAAACUCAAAGGAAUUGACGGGGACCCGCACAAGCGGUGGAGCAUGUGGUUUAAUUCGAAGCAACGCGAAGAACCUUACCAAAUCUUGACAUCCUUUGACAACUCUAGAGAUAGAGCCUUCCCCUUCGGGGGACAAAGUGACAGGUGGUGCAUGGUUGUCGUCAGCUCGUGUCGUGAGAUGUUGGGUUAAGUCCCGCAACGAGCGCAACCCUUAAGCUUAGUUGCCAUCAUUAAGUUGGGCACUCUAAGUUGACUGCCGGUGACAAACCGGAGGAAGGUGGGGAUGACGUCAAAUCAUCAUGCCCCUUAUGAUUUGGGCUACACACGUGCUACAAUGGACAAUACAAAGGGCAGCGAAACCGCGAGGUCAAGCAAAUCCCAUAAAGUUGUUCUCAGUUCGGAUUGUAGUCUGCAACUCGACUACAUGAAGCUGGAAUCGCUAGUAAUCGUAGAUCAGCAUGCUACGGUGAAUACGUUCCCGGGUCUUGUACACACCGCCCGUCACACCACGAGAGUUUGUAACACCCGAAGCCGGUGGAGUAACCUUUUAGGAGCUAGCCGUCGAAGGUGGGACAAAUGAUUGGGGUGAAGUCGUAACAAGGUAGCC
rnacentral:rRNA from 1 species